GACGAACGCUGGCGGCGUGCCUAACACAUGCAAGUCGAACGGGAAGGCCCGCCAUUUGUGGUGUACUCGAGUGGGGAACAGGAAAAUAAAGCUUAUGUACCCUACACUCUAGUUUAGCAUACCGUCAGGAAACCGGAGCCAAGACCGGACAACAGCUCCCGCUGCUGGGUUUUGGUUGGAAAGGUUCGGCGGUUGAGGAUGGAGUUGCGGGUUAUCAGUUCGUUGGUGAGGUAGUGGCUUACGAUGGAUUUGACGGGUAGCCGGACUGAGAGGGUGACCGGCCACAUAGGGACUGAGGUAGGAGCAAGACUGCUACGGGAGGCAGGAGUGGGAAAUAUUGCAAAAUAGGCGGAAGCCUGAUGCAGCGACGCCGCGUGGGGGAUGACGGCCGUCGGGUUGGAAACCGCUUUGGCCUGAGACGAAGAGUGAGUGACGGUAAUGGGUAAAGAAGCACCGGCUAACUCCGUG
rnacentral:rRNA from 1 species